rnacentral:rRNA from 1 species
ACUCCUACGGGAGGCAGCAGUGGGAAUCUUGGACAAAUGGGGGCAACCCGUAGCAUCCAGCCAUGCCGCGUGAGUGAAUGAAAGGCCCUUUAGGGGUCGUAAAAGCUCUUUCGCCUGUGAUGAUAAUGACAGUAGCAGGUAAAGAACCCCGCACAUCCGNGCCAGCAGCCGCGGUAAUACGGAGGGGUUAGCGUUGUUCGGAAUUACUGGGCGUAAAGCGCGCGUAGGCGGAUUAGUCAGUUAGAGGUGAAAUCCCAGGGCUCAACCCUGGAACUGCCUUUAAUACUGCUAGUCUUGAGUUCGAGAGAGGUGAGUGGAAUUCCGAGUGUAGAGGUGAAAUUCGUAGAUAUUCGGAGGAACACCAGUGGCGAAGGCGGCUCACUGGCUCGAUACUGACGCUGAGGUGCGAAAGUGUGGGGAGCAAACAGGAUUAGAUACCCUGGUAGGCUCUGCU